rnacentral:lncRNA from 1 species
GCUGUGUUUGAUUUCCAUACUAAUAUUUGGGUACUAGCUAGUUUUGUUGUUGCUAAAAGCUAUAAUAUUAAAUGAGUUUUCUGUUAAUGUAUUGUGUAAGAUGUAACUAGGGACUAUCUAAUAGAGUAAUUUUGAACUAAAAAGAAAAAGAAUAAUAAAAAGAGAAGAAGAUAAGUGUUAAUCAAUAGAUAAAUUAGAUACACGAACUAAGAAAAUAAUAAUUGAAAGAUAGAGUGUGAACAAAUAGUUGAAAUAUAUGUAAUUAGAUAGGUCAAUGAGUCAACAGCUUCCAUCGUUACCUUUUUGUUUUUUUUUUUUUUUUUCAAAAUAUAUAUAUUAAUUCGAAUAAACCCAAAUGGGCUGGGCCGCCUUACACGCGAGAUCCAACAAGCAAAGGAAAAACAAAAUCCCACGAACCAAAAGAAAGAAUCGGAUCCUGCUGAUCGCCGGAGGCAAAGGUGAUCGGAGCCGGAAAUCCGGCGGUCUCAAGGUCCACGGCUUUGCGGCUUCGACGGAGGUUUGGAGGCCAAAACCAAAAGAGACCGGUUUUCGGUGAUGGCCCCUUCUUCUCCGUCGCGCCAAACCCGCUACAAACCUCCCGGAAAGCUAAUCACCCUGACAACACGGUUCCGCGGUGGCGAGUCCCGACCUAGCAACUCGCCAUACUCAGAUCUAUCUUCUCUCCUUCGAAUCCGGGGCUCGCCGUAGAUCCGAGUAGCUUCUCCUCGAGCUGGACGGGAGGAUGCCGAGAGACGGCGGAAAUAGGAAGCGGCGGCUCAACACAAACCUCCUAACCCGUAACUCCGCCACGGCCAUCUAAGAUCCAAGAUCUACCGUUAACCUCCACAUCAAACGACGGAACCCUCCUAGCCUCCACCGACUUCCGCCGUAGCCACAGCCUCUAGAUCUAACGGCUGAGCCUUGAAGAUCCAUGAAUCUCCCCGCCGUCUUCAAAACGGGUACCACAGCCGCAUAGAAACUUCACCGCAGAAACCAGAGCCACAACCACAUCGAAGGAGACUUCCCACCACCGUCGACAGAGAGGAAAAGCUACUCACCCGUGAAUCAACAGUGAUUGACGGAGCCCUAAAUGAAGCACCGAUCGAGAAAAAUAAAAAAGAAAAGAAACGGAGCUUCGCUGGAAAUCGCCUUCAAGAGAGAGAGAAGCUCUGUUUUCGAGGCAACGAUUGUGCUUCUAGCCGAGUCACCUUUUUGACAAUUAUGCGCUCUCUUCUUCUAAAAUAACAAUGAUGUCCAAUCCCGACAUCCUAAUUACGCCACGCCAUAUUGUCAAAA